rnacentral:siRNA from 1 species
UGGCUUGCAUUUGGUGAAUCC